rnacentral:tRNA from 1 species
GGGUCGGUGGUGUAAUGGCGUGGAACAUUUCCGCCUGAUCAGCAGGUGGUGCGGGUUCGAGUCCCGCCCGUCGCU